AGCGUCUGAUGGCUAUAAAAUACAAGGAGCGCCAUGAAGCUGUUGUUCGGCGGACGAUGGAAAGGAGCCAGAAGCCGAAGCAGAAGUAUAACCGGUGGUCGUGGGGAAGCCCUCUCCACGGGAGCUCUAGCAUUCACAGUGGAGAUCCAGACAGGCGGUCAGUUUCCACCAUGAAUCUUUCGAAACAUGUCGAUCCUGUCAUUAGCAAGCGGCUCUCGUCCUCAUCUGCAACUUUGCUAAACUCUCCAGAUAGAGCUCGCCGCCUGCAGCUCAGCCCCUGGGAGAGCAGCGUUGUUAGCAGACUUCUGACGCCCACACAUUCGUUCCUGGCCAGAA
rnacentral:lncRNA from 1 species